GGAAAGCAUUCACAAUACUUUCCUAUGGAUGCUGGCGUCUUCUCACUGUGAUUUUCACAAUGAGAAGCGCGGAAGCGCCUCUAUUGGCUGACAAUGAGACAGCCACUAGAGGCUGGAUUAACCCUAUUAUAAACAUAGCACUUUCUCUGAAACUGCUAUGUUUAUAGAAAAAAGGGUUAAUCCUAGCUGGACCUGGCACCCAGGCCACCUUAUUAAGCUGAAGUGGUCUGGGUGCCUAUAGUGGUCCUUUAAUGAAGCAGUUUUGGUGUAUAGCUCAUGCCUGUGAAGUCUCACUGCUCAAUUCUCUGCAAUUUAGGAGUUUAAUCACUUCUGCUUAUGAAGCCUUAGCCACACCUCCCCUGGUUGUGACUCAGACAGCUUCCAUUAAAAAAAUUGUUUCCUUUUUAAUCAGAU